UACGUAGGGUGCAAGCGUUAAUCGGAAUUACUGGGCGUAAAGCGUGCGCAGGCGGUUUUGUAAGUCUGACGUGAAAUCCCCCGGGCUCAACCUGGGAAUUGCGUUGGAGACUGAAUAGCUAGGGUACGGUAGAGGGAAAUGGAAUUUCCGGUGUAGCGGUGAAAUGCGUAGAUAUCGGAAGGAACAUCAGUGGCGAAAGCGACUUCCUGGACCAGUACCGACGUUCAGGCACGAAAGCGUGGGGAGCAAACAGGA
rnacentral:rRNA from 1 species